rnacentral:rRNA from 1 species
UAUCCUUAGUUGCCAGCGAGUAAUGUCGGGACUCUAAGGAAACAGCCGGUGCAAACAGUGAGGAAGGUGGGGAUGAAGUCAAAUAAUCACGGCCCUUACGUCCAGGGCUACACACGUGCUACAAUGGCGCAUACAAAGGGCAGCUACAUGGUGACAUGAUGCUAAUCUCUAAAGUGCGUCUCAGUUCGGAUCGAAGCCUGCAACUCGACUUCGUGAAGCUGGAAUCGCUAGUAAUCGUAUAUCAGCAAUGAUACGGUGAAUACGUUC